UAGGGAAUCUUCGGCAAUGGACGAAAGUCUGACCGAGCAACGCCGCGUGAGUGAAGAAGGUUUUCGGAUCGUAAAACUCUGUUGUUAGAGAAGAACAAGGACGUUAGUAACUGAACGUCCCCUGACGGUAUCUAACCAGAAAGCCACGGCUAACUACGUGCCAGCAGCCGCGGUAAUACGUAGGUGGCAAGCGUUGUCCGGAUUUAUUGGGCGUAAAGCGAGCGCAGGCGGUUUCUUAAGUCUGAUGUGAAAGCCCCCGGCUCAACCGGGGAGGGUCAUUGGAAACUGGGAGACUUGAGUGCAGAAGAGGGGAGUGGAAUUCCAUGUGUAGCGGUGAAAGGCGUAGAUAUAUGGAGGAACACCGGUGGCGAGGGCGGCUCUCUGGUCUGUAACUGACGCUGAGGCUCGAAAGCGUGGGGAGCAAACAGG
rnacentral:rRNA from 1 species